GUGGGGUGGGAGGUACGUGCCAGGAGUUCCCUGGAUUGCAAGAAGAGAACAAAUUUCAAGGUCAGUGAAUAGCACUUGGUGGUGCAGAUUCAGAGAUGCUGAGCUCCACUGGAACCACAACUAGUCAAUCAAUGCCUUCGUGCCCCUCCAGUGUCUUACCUGCAAGAUGGAGCCUCCAUGGAUGAAGGAGGGUUUGUCCGUGGGCUUGGUGGUUGGAAUGAGUGGAGGAGGAGAGGGAAUGUUGGGAGGUCGGCUGGGUCGACUGAAUGUCACACGGCCUCCAUCUGGCAAAGUCUGGACCAGCUGGUUGGGGGAAGGGUGGAGGACUGGAGAGAAUAUUAAAAAAGAACAAAAACAUUAAUCAGACACAACUGAUCCCCAGCCAACAUUUGGCCAUUAAAUAUGUCCGUAUACAAGGAAAUCGCAAAACAGCUUCUGAAUGCCCUGACUUCGCGGCACCAAUCUACCCAACAUACAACUGCUGCUACCUCCCUGCCAGUCUAAGUGGAUCAGUAUGAAACUGUGACUCACCAUGGGUGGGAUGGCAGCUGCCCUCUGCUGCAGCUGCU